rnacentral:rRNA from 1 species
AUUGAACGCUGGCGGCAGGCCUAACACAUGCAAGUCGAGCGGAGCGGCGGACGGGUGAGUAAUGCCUAGGAAUCUGCCUGGCAGUGGGGGAUAACGUCCGGAACCGGGCGCUAAUACCGCAUACUAUCAGAUGAGCCUAGGUCGGAUUAGCUAGUUGGGGGGGUAAAGGCCUACCAAGGCGACGAUCCGUAACUGGUCUGAGAGGAUGAUCAGUCACACGAGAACUGAGACACGGUCCAGACUCCUACGGGAGGCGGCAGUGGGGAAUAUUGGACAAUUGGCGAAAGCCUGAUCCGGCCAUGCCGCGUGUGUGGAGAAGGUCUUCGGAUUGUAAAGCACUUUAAGUUGGGAGGCGUUACCAUCAGAAUAAGCACCGGCUAACUUCGUGCCAGCAGCCGCGGUAAUAC